rnacentral:rRNA from 1 species
GACAGAGGGUGCAAACGUUGUUCGGAAUUACUGGGCGUAAAGCGCGUGUAGGCUGCUUUCGCAAGUCGGAUGUGAAAGCCCUGGGGCUCAACCCCAGGAAGUGCAUUCGAAACUGCAGAGCUGGAGUCCUGGAGAGGAAGGCGGAAUUCUCGGUGUAGAGGUGAAAUUCGUAGAUAUCGAGAGGAACACCGGUGGCGAAGGCGGCCUUCUGGACAGUGACUGACGUGAGACGCGAAAAGCGUGGGGGAGCAAAACAGG